UGAGGAAUAUUGGACAAUGGGCGCAAGCCUGAUCCAGCCAUGCCGCGUGCAGGAUGACGGUCCUAUGGAUUGUAAACUGCUUUUGCACAGGAAGAAACAUCCCGACGUGUCGGGACUUGACGGUACUGUGAGAAUAAGGAUCGGCUAACUCCGUGCCAGCAGCCGCGGUAAUACGGAGGAUCCAAGCGUUAUCCGGAAUCAUUGGGUUUAAAGGGUCCGUAGGCGGUCUUAUAAGUCAGUGGUGAAAUCUCCCCGCUCAACGGGGAAACGGCCAUUGAUACUGUAGGACUUGAAUUAUUAGGAAGUAACUAGAAUAUGUAGUGUAGCGGUGAAAUGCUUAGAGAUUACAUGGAAUACCAAUUGCGAAGGCAGGUUACUACUAAUGGAUUGACGCUGAUGGACGAAAGCGUGGGUAGCGAACA
rnacentral:rRNA from 1 species